rnacentral:rRNA from 1 species
CCUUACCAGGUCUUGACAUCCCUUGCUAAUCCUAGAAAUAGGACGUUCCCUUCGGGGACAAGGUGACAGGUGGUGCAUGGUUGUCGUCAGCUCGUGUCGUGAGAUGUUGGGUUAGGUCCCGCAACGAGCGCAACCCUUAUUAUUAGUUGCCAGCAUUCAGUUGGGCACUCUAGUGAGACUGCCGGUGACAAACCGGAGGAAGGUGGGGAUGACGUCAAAUCAUCAUGCCCCUUAUGACCUGGGCUACACACGUGCUACAAUGGCAUAUACAACGAGUCGCCAACCCGCGAGGGUGCGCUAAUCUCUUAAAGUAUGUCUCAGUUCGGAUUGUAGGCUGCAACUCGCCUACAUGAAGUCGGAAUCGCUAGUAAUCGCGGAUCAGCACGCCGCGGUGAAUACGUUCCCGGGUCUUGUACACACCGCCCGUCACACCAUGAGAGUUUGUAACACCCAAAGCCGGUGGGGUAACCUUUUAGGAGCCAGCCGUCUAAGGUGGGACAGAUGAUUAGGGUGAAGUCGUAACAAGGUAAGCGUAGACGU